GGGAGACUGACAAUCCAGCAUCUUUCUCUGAGGUGCUUUGAGGGAGAUCCAAUAGAGUAGACACAGAGCAUCAGGGAAUGGGAGAAGCCAAUGUCGGAUGAAAAUCCUGCGAGAGGAGGAGCAACAAAAACUCAGGUUCCAGCUCCUUAAAAACCCUCAUGGAAGACACCUGUGGAGUUGCACCUGCCAGUUGCACCCUGUAGGAAGAGAGUGAGAGAGAACACAGCACUGCAUGCACACACCAACCUGCACGCAACUAGGCAGUAUGACAGCCAGAUUUGGCCAAGGUGAUCAAAACACUGCACUAGAGACUCCAGUAAGUAACCUAACAUCUAAAUGAGACAUUAAUAAGAUAUAUUCACCAUGCUAUAUGUCAUCAGUUAGGAAACAGUUUAAUUAACUCUGAAUUUAUCAGUUUAUUAAUUUAUUUACUCUUUAGUUUCUGGAUUGAUGGUUUAGAACAGUUGCAACAAAAGUUGUUGUUUUUUUCAUUAUUUCUAUUGGCAGUCAGUUCUGACACCCAAACAUAUGCUGUCAAGAUCACAAAAAGGAUUUUGUUUCACUCUAGGUCUCUUUAAGGUUGUACAUUUUGUAACAACAUUUUUUUCUUUUGUUGAGGACAGCUUGCUGAUAAUAGCUAUGUUUUCUCUUCAAGGAUUCCAAAGCUUCAAAGGUGUAUGCUGUAAUUCGAGUCUGCCUACUUCAAGGAGACAGUUUGACAUCCUCACCGUGUGGGUGCUUUGUUCAAAUAUCACACAAGUCUCAACACAUUUCAGAUGAAAACACAGCAAACUUUCCCUUCAGCUGCAUCCAACUGUCUUCUUGGCCAUCAUUUCGAUUGUCCAGAGGAUUAAUCAUACUGCAGGAGGAAUGGCAUGUUGUCAGGAUGAGAUACAAGCCAAUUGGCCUGAUUCCACAAAGUUAUUUGACUUCUAAAUUGGACCAUAUGCCUUUAAUUUUCUAGCAGACGUCUUUUCUUCACUUUGAGAAUAAUUUUAUACAUGUUUAAAAAUACCACUAUUGGUGUUUCUGAGGAGAGUUUUGACUUAUCUCAGCAAUGGUGAAUAAUAAAAUUACAAAUAACCGAUUCCUUUUGGAAAUAACUUAUAAGGGCGCCCAUUACGCAAAGGUAGCUUGCUCUUUACAGUAAAAUCAGAAGUAGGAUCUAGCUGCUUGUUAUAGUUUUAUGAGCCGCUUUAUUGCUAAAUAUUGAUAUAGAUAAUAAACAAAUACAUUUUUAGCAAAGUAGUCCAUUAUGUCAGUGAUUGGCAAUCUGGCAUGUGGGCCUCAAAGCUCACAGCAUCCGGCCCGCAGGUAAUAAAUUAUUAAAACAUCAGUUGCAAUAGCAUACAGUAAUUUGUUUUAUUGUAGCUCAGAAAGGGUUUAUGGUGGCAUACACGUUCAUCAAAGUGGAAGCAGCUUGACCAACCCAGUCAGGCCACUUGCUUGCAAAUGGCAACCAUAUGAAGAGCACCAGAGUGCCCAUGAGCAAGGCAACUGAUACAUUGAACUGGAUAGAGAACUGAUCGGAGUUAGAGUGUUAAAAUGGAAAGUCUUUUCACUUUUUUAGCUAAAAAUUGUUUUCUGUUGAGUUGUUCUGUGACUUGUGGAGAAGUACAGUGACGCUGUAUGAUAAUAUCAUUUCAUGCUGAUAUCAUUUCUCCUUAUAUAUGCUUCAUCUAGCUGUCCUCAACUGAAAGUAAAACAAAUCUGGUUUUGAACGGUACAUUAACUUAAUUCCUGUUCCUGUUAAUUCCUGUAAGCACUUUUGUUGUCCAAUUUAAAACUGUUCAUUAUU